rnacentral:rRNA from 1 species
AUGAUGUUUGAGCAUGCACUUUUUUUGAGUGUCUAUUUAUUUUUGAUUGGUAUCUAUUGAUUGAUCACAAGCCGAAACAUGGUUAGAUCUCUAAUAUGUCUUGGACUUAUACUGAAUUAAAUUAACCUAAAUCUCGUAACAUUUUCUGAUCUAUUUGAUAGUCGCCAAUUAAAAGGAGAUAUUUUCGCAAUUUUUGUUAUAGCCCUUGCGGCUGCUGAAGCCGCUAUUGGUCUAUCCAUUCUUUCUUCCAUCCAUCGUAAUAGGUCCACUCGUAUCAAUCAAUCUAAUUUAUUGAAUAAUUAG